UCCCCAAACCACCAAUCACUAGCUCUCUCUCCCGUCUGCUUUCCCCCAAAUCCCAUUCCGCUGCUCCUUCUCCAAUCACCAAACCCUAUCGAAGCCGCUGCUAUGGUAAACGGUGGCGGCAGGCGGAUGAGUGAGAGGAAGAGGCAGAGGGUAGUUUUCUAAUUGGGGUCUUGAGAGAGAGAUUUUGGGUUUCUAUCUGGGGGUUUGACCAAUUGGGGGAUGGGGAUGGAGAAAGAGUCGGCGAAGAGAUGGAGAAGGGGGCGGCGACGCGGCAGCCGUGGAAGAGCGGCUGCGGCUGCAGCUGUUCAUGGCGAGAGAGGAGAUGGAGACCGAGAGAGUCGGGCGAGAUGUUGAGAGGGAGAGUCGACAGAUGCAGAUGAUGGUGGGGGUGAAGAACCGCUGACGAAGCGCCGCCGGUCUUGCUGGAGGUGGUCGGCGGCUUGGGAGAGAGAAGAGAGAUUUCUGAGAGAGAGAGAGAGAGAGACGCUGGAUGUGGCCAGCCCUAGCUCGAGUUCGAUUCAGUUCCUCUUAGCACUCUUGCUCCUUCGGAUUCAGCAUGCUGCUCCACUCUGACUUCAGCUCGUCGUCUCUCCGCAAUUCUAACUAUUCACUUCCGAGAUUUAACUAUAAUUAUUGGAGCAGGUUUGGGACUUGGAGAUUUGAUAAUUUAUAAUUGUUUUUUGCUUAUUAAUGUUUCAUAUCCAACUGGCACUAGAAACCCCAGUAACACCAUAUCCGAAUAUGCAGAGAAAGUUGCCAAGAAUGUUCUUGGAGAGUUACUUUAUUGCUACUUUAACUUAGUUAUGAAUGAAGAGACAUGUUUCAUAUGGCCCAAUGAAGAUUUUGUGUUCGUAUAUUUAGGCUUCACCUCUUCAGAUACGCUUUCUUAUUAGCGUCCUAUAUACUAUAUGUUCUUCGCUUUUCCUAUACUCUUCUGUUGCAGUGUGCUAGACAAGGGUUUGCACUUGGUCUUACAAUGUUAGUUGGCAUGGUUCAUAGCAUUAAAUUAGAGUCCUUGUUAAAGCUAAUUACAACUUUGCUGGAGGUCUCUUCUUCCAUGAAGGGGGUCAGGAGGUUAAAGACUGCUUACUGGGCCGUUUAUUUGCAUAUGGAGCUCUUGCAAGAUCGGGAAAGCUUACUGAAGAAUGGAUAUCAGAUAAUAGUAGUGCACUCAUCAAAGAAUUUAACAAAUGUCUUAUUGAUCUUGCAGCUAAGAAACGGUACUUACAAGAGCCUGCUGUUGCUGUUUUAUUGGAGAUAGUGGGAAAGGAGUCUAGCUUCUGUCAGCCACGAGUACAUAGUGUAUGACCUGUUUUGGUUAGCCAUGCAAGAUGUUGAUUCAGCAUCAAGUCUAAUUUCGAGCAAGAAGCACAAAAGAAGUCGUAAGAGUACCCAUUCAAGUCAAAGUAUCACGAGGUAGCUCAGCUUUACAAGGGCAAAGACUUGAGUUUUUUUUGGUUUGUGGUAGUUUUUUGUCAUUUUUAUUUUCUUUUGACUUUAUAUAGAACUAUUGUACUUAGCAUUUUGAUUAUCUUCGGAUGAUAAUUUUAAUACAAGUGUUAACUCAUUUGAAUGUUA